AGAGUUUGAUCAUGGCUCAGAAUCAACGCUGGCGGCGUGCCUAACACAUGCAAGUCGAACGAGAAAGUGGAGCAAUCCAUGAGUAAAGUGGCGCACGGGUGAGUAACACGUGACUAACCUACCCUGGAGUGGGGGAUAACUGAGGGAAACCUUAGCUAAUACCGCAUAAUACCUACGGGUCAAAGGAGCAAUUCGCUCUAGGAGGGGGUCGCGGCCGAUUAGUUAGUUGGCGGGGUAAUGGCCCACCAAGACUGUGAUCGGUAUCCGGCCUGAGAGGGCGCACGGACACACUGGAACUGAAACACGGUCCAGACUCCUACGGGAGGCAGCAGUGGGGAAUUUUGCGCAAUGGGGGAAACCCUGACGCAGCAACGCCGCGUGGAGGAUGAAGUCCUUCGGGACGUAAACUCCUUUCGAUCGGGACGAUUAUGACGGUACCGGAAGAAGAAGCCCCGGCUAACUUCGUGCCAGCAGCCGCGGUAAUACGAGGGGGGCGAGCGUUGUUCGGAAUUAUUGGGCGUAAAGGGUGCGUAGGCGGUUUGGUAAGUCUUGUGUGAAAUCUACAGGCUCAACUUGUAGUCUGCACGAGAAACUGCCGGGCUUGAGUGUGGGAGAGGUGAGUGGAAUUUCCGGUGUAGCGGUGAAAUGCGUAGAUAUCGGAAGGAACACCUGUGGCGAAAGCGGCUCACUGGACCACAACUGACGCUGAUGCACGAAAGCUAGGGGAGCAAACAGGAUUAGAUACCCUAGUAGUCC
rnacentral:rRNA from 1 species